UACGGGGGGGGCAAGCGUUGUUCGGAAUUACUGGGCGUAAAGGGCUCGUAGGCGGCCAACUAAGUCAGACGUGAAAUCCCUCGGCUUAACCGGGGAACUGCGUCUGAUACUGGAUGGCUUGAGUUUGGGAGAGGGAUGCGGAAUUCCAGGUGUAGCGGUGAAAUGCGUAGAUAUCUGGAGGAACACCGGUGGCGAAGGCGGCCCCCUGGACCGGUACUGACGCUGAGGCGCGAAAGCGUGGGGAGCAAACAGG
rnacentral:rRNA from 1 species